UCUGCUGCGGAUUUUUGAGGUUAAUCGACUAGACAUAUAAGAUGCCGCAUUACAGACCUAAAUUCAGAGCUCUUUCAGCUUCUGACAUCACAAGUGAUACACUGUGUCAAAUCGUCGCGAUUCUCAUCUAGAAAAUGGCUAAUAAGCUUGUGCUUUUGUUGGCCGCGGUGGUGCUGCUCGCAUUGGUGGCUGCCCAAGACGAUGAUGAAGACCUGCCUGUCUUCGAGCGGGCUGAAAAUCUAGAGGCCGAGGAGGCGCCGGGGCUGUCGCGGGUGCGCCGUUCUGGCCGCGGUGGACGAGGAAGAUCACCACCAAGAACACCACCACAAUCGCCACGGCGACCACCACCAACGUUGUCCCCGAGAGAUCGCACUCGGCCUCCCCGUUUUUCCACAAUUUGGGUGUAAUAAUUUAAUCCUUUGAUUGGAAAAAUAUAACGGAUUUUCUUGCUUACUUUACUUUGAACCAGAAGUCGAUUUAAAAUGAAUGUGAUUUAAGGAAAUAAU